rnacentral:rRNA from 1 species
UACGAAGGGGGCUAGCGUUGCUCGGAAUCACUGGGCGUAAAGCGCACGUAGGCGGGUCUUUAAGUCAGGGGUGAAAUCCCGGAGCUCAACUCCGGAACUGCCUUUGAUACUGAGGAUCUUGAGUUCGAGAGAGGUGAGUGGAACUGCGAGUGUAGAGGUGAAAUUCGUAGAUAUCGGGAGGAACACCAGUGGCGAAGGCGGCGAUCUGGGAAGAUACUGACGCUGAGGUGCGAAAGCGUGGGGAGCAAACAGG